AGAAGGCUAUGUUGGCCGGGCGACGGUUGACCCGGUUUAAGCGUGUAGGCUGGUUUUCCAGGCAAAUCCGGAAAACCAAGGGUGAGGCGUGAUGACGAGGCACUACGGUGCUGAAGCGACAAAUGCCCUGCUUCCAGGAAAAGCCUCUAAGCAUCAGGUAACAUCAAAUCGUACCCCAAACCGACACAGGUGGUCAGGUAGAGAAUACCAAGGCGCUUGAGAGAACUCGGGUGAAGGAACUAGGCAAAAUGGUGCCGUAACUUCGGGAGAAGGCACGCUGAUAUGUAGGUGAAGCGACUUGCUCGUGGAGCUGAAAUCAGUCGAAGAUACCAGCUGGCUGCAACUGUUUAUUAAAAACACAGCACUGUGCAAACACGAAAGUGGACGUAUACGGUGUGACGCCUGCCCGGUGCCGGAAGGUUAAUUGAUGGGGUUAGCGGCAACGCGAAGCUCUUGAUCGAAGCCCCGGUAAACGGCGGCCGUAACUAUAACGGUCCUAAGGUAGCGAAAUUCCUUGUCGGGUAAGUUCCGACCUGCACGAAUGGCGUAAUGAUGGCCAGGCUGUCUCCACCCGAGACUCAGUGAAAUUGAACUCGCUGUGAAGAUGCAGUGUACCCGCGGCAAGACGGAAAGACCCCGUGAACCUUUACUAUAGCUUGACACUGAACAUUGAGCCUUGAUGUGUAGGAUAGGUGGGAGGCUUUGAAGUGUGGACGCCAGUCUGCAUGGAGCCGACCUUGAAAUACCACCCUUUAAUGUUUGAUGUUCUAACGUUGGCCCGUAAUCCGGGUUGCGGACAGUGUCUGGUGGGUAGUUUGACUGGGGCGGUCUCCUCCUAAAGAGUAACGGAGGAGCACGAAGGUUGGCUAAUCCUGGUCGGACAUCAGGAGGUUAGUGCAAUGGCAUAAGCCAGCUUGACUGCGAGCGUGACGGCGCGAGCAGGUGCGAAAGCAGGUCAUAGUGAUCCGGUGGUUCUGAAUGGAAGGGCCAUCGCUCAACGGAUAAAAGGUACUCCGGGGAUAACAGGCUGAUACCGCCCAAGAGUUCAUAUCGACGGCGGUGUUUGGCACCUCGAUGUCGGCUCAUCACAUCCUGGGGCUGAAGUAGGUCCCAAGGGUAUGGCUGUUCGCCAUUUAAAGUGGUACGCGAGCUGGGUUUAGAACGUCGUGAGACAGUUCGGUCCCUAUCUGCCGUGGGCGCUGGAGAACUGAGGGGGGCUGCUCCUAGUACGAGAGGACCGGAGUGGACGCAUCACUGGUGUUCGGGUUGUCAUGCCAAUGGCACUGCCCGGUAGCUAAAUGCGGAAGAGAUAAGUGCUGAAAGCAUCUAAGCACGAAACUUGCCCCGAGAUGAGUUCUCCCUGACUCCUUGAGGGUCCUGAAGGAACGUUGAAGACGACGACGUUGAUAGGCCGGGUGUGUAAGCGCAGCGAUGCGUUGAGCUAACCGGUACUAAUGAACCGUGAGGCUUAACCUUACAACGCCGAAG
rnacentral:rRNA from 1 species